UUAAGUGAGUGGCGAACUGGUGAGUAACACGUGGGAAACCUGCCCAGAAGCGGGGGAUAACACCUGGAAACAGAUGCUAAUACCGCAUAACAACUUGGACCGCAUGGUCCGAGUUUGAAAGAUGGCUUCGGCUAUCACUUUUGGAUGGUCCCGCGGCGUAUUAGCUAGAUGGUGGGGUAACGGCUCACCAUGGCAAUGAUACGUAGCCGACCUGAGAGGGUAAUCGGCCACAUUGGGACUGAGACACGGCCCAAACUCCUACGGGAGGCAGCAGUAGGGAAUCUUCCACAAUGGACGAAAGUCUGAUGGAGCAACGCCGCGUGAGUGAAGAAGGGUUUCGGCUCGUAAAACUCUGUUGUUAAAGAAGAACAUAUCUGAGAGUAACUGUUCAGGUAUUGACGGUAUUUAACCAGAAAGCCACGGCUAACUACGUGCCAGCAGCCGCGGUAAUACGUAGGUGGCAAGCGUUGUCCGGAUUUAUUGGGCGUAAAGCGAGCGCAGGCGGUUUUUUAAAUCUGAUGUGAAAGCCUUCGGCUCAACCGAAGAAGUGCAUCGGAAACUGGGAAACUUGAGUGCAGAAGAGGACAAUGGAACUCCAUGUGUAGCGGUGAAAUGCGUAGAUAUAUGGAAGAACACCAGUGGCGAAGGCGGCUGUCUGGUCUGUAACUGACGCUGAGGCUCGAAAGUAUGGGUAGCAAACAGGAUUAGAUACCCUGGUAGUCCAUACCGUAAACGAUGAAUGCUAAGUGUUGGAGGGUUUCCGCCCUUCAGUGCUGCAGCUAACGCAUUAAGCAUUCCGCCUGGGGAGUACGGCCGCAAGGCUGAAACUCAAAGGAAUUGACGGGGGCCCGCACAAGCGGUGGAGCAUGUGGUUUAAUUCGAAGCUACGCGAAGAACCUUACCAGGUCUUGACAUACUAUGCAAAUCUAAGAGAUUAGACGUUCCCUUCGGGGACAUGGAUACAGGUGGUGCAUGGUUGUCGUCAGCUCGUGUCGUGAGAUGUUGGGUUAAGUCCCGCAACGAGCGCAACCCUUAUUAUCAGUUGCCAGCAUUAAGUUGGGCACUCUGGUGAGACUGCCGGUGACAAACCGGAGGAAGGUGGGGAUGACGUCAAAUCAUCAUGCCCCUUAUGACCUGGGCUACACACGUGCUACAAUGGAUGGUACAACGAGUUGCGAACUCGCGAGAGUAAGCUAAUCUCUUAAAGCCAUUCUCAGUUCGGAUUGUAGGCUGCAACUCGCCUACAUGAAGUCGGAAUCGCUAGUAAUCGCGGAUCAGCAUGCCGCGGUGAAUACGUUCCCGGGCCUUGUACACACCGCCCGUCACACCAUGAGAGUUUGUAACACCCAAAGUCGGUGGGGUAACCUUUUAGGAACCAGCCGCCUAAGGU
rnacentral:rRNA from 2 species